GCGGCACGCUUCAUACAUGCAAGUCGAGGGGCAGCAUAAAGUACUUGUACUUUGAUGGCGACCGGCGAACGGGUGCGUAACGCGUAUGCAACUUACCUUUUACUAGAGAAUAGCCAAGAGAAAUUUUGAUUAAUGCUCUAUACUCUUUUUAACUCACAUGAGUUUUUAAGAAAAGCUCCGGCGGUAAAAGAUGGGCAUGCGUCCUAUUAGCUUGUAGGUGAGGUAACGGCUCACCUAAGCUCCGAUAGGUAGGGGUCCUGAGAGGGAGAUCCCCCACACUGGUACUGAGACACGGACCAGACUUCUACGGAAGGCAGCAGUAAGGAAUAUUGGACAAUGGAGGAAACUCUGAUCCAGCGAUGCCGCGUGAAGGAAGACGGCCCUAUGGGUUGUAAACUUCUUUUAUACAGGAAGAAACCUUUCCACGUGUGGAAAGCUGACGGUACUGUAAGAAUAAGGAUCGGCUAA
rnacentral:rRNA from 1 species